rnacentral:tRNA from 1 species
GCUUAGAUAUUUUAAUAAAAAUGUUGAUUUGUGAAUUCAUUAUUGUAGGUUUAAAUCCUAUUCUAGGCC